UAUAAUUUUUCUUGCUUGGGAUUGGCUCUCUCUCUAAGGAAGAACUUUUCCAUCUAGAAGAUCAUAAUUAAACCGGUUCUAGGGCCCAAAAUAGCUAAUUGCAGGCCCCACGACCUGUAUGGGCAUUUUCCUAUAAUGGAAAAUGGGGUUGGAGGAGGAGGCCCGGGUCUUGUGGGUAUUGUUCCAGCUUCAGCCACGUGGCCCGCCUUCUUCGGAUUAAUGUGCAUGAAGGCCCCUCCCUAGAAGUUUACGCUUCUAGGGCAAUUUUGUAAUCUGGCCUGUGUAAAUUGUACUUUUGCUAGGGAAUAUUUGUACUCAUCUCCCUAGCCUCACUGGCCUCAUCAAGGACUCAUUGGUGUGAGGAUACCCAACUCAACAGCCCUUCAUGCCUCUGUGGUAGUCACUGGAGGUCAUGCAGACAGUGAGUGAGUCCCAUGAUGCUGGUAGCAUGAUUUAAAUCUGUUACAUGGGAGGCCCCCCCGAAAAGAUGAUCACACAUCUUGGGCACACGGUCGAGGUACUGACUGUGAUGCCUCAGACCCGGUACCUUAUCUGUGGGAUGCCGCAGAUGGAGCAGUUAUAAUUAAUAACUGGGGAUGCUGGCAUCCCUUGCAUUCGAUAUCUGAUGGGUGCUAAUCUUCCCAAACUCAAGUCCUUAUUAAAAUGUAUACUGGAAAAUUGGGACCAAUUUGACACUCGAUCUUUGAAGAAGUGGCUCAUUUUUUUCUGCCAAACAGAGUGGCUGAAAUACCCCCUGUCAAGUGGAAAAAUCAGGCUUCCUAAGGGAAAUAUAGAUUAUGACACUAUUCUACAAUUAGACCUGUUUUGUAAAAGUGAGGGUAAAUGGUUUGAGGUGCCCUAUGUGCAGUAUUUCUUUUCCCUAAGGAAUAAGCCUCAGUUCUGUCAGGCCUGUGCCCCAUACCCUACUCAGCCCUCCUCAGGACUACCUCCAUAUGUGGGACUCCCUGUGGCAACAACCUCCACCAAGGCCAACCAGAGCUCCUGCCAACUGGAGCCAGGAAGGGCUGAGAUGGCCAGGGCAUCUCAGGCUACCAGGAUGCCCCCACUCUGCUCCCUACAGGCAGUAGGGGAGAAUUUGGCCCGAAUAAGAGACCAGGAGGAACAGGCUGAAAGGAACAGGAGAGAUGAGAGAAAAGCUGCUGCUUCAGUCAUGGCUUUCAGGCAAGUGGACCCCAGGGCUCAAAUGAGGGAAAGGCUUGGGUUAGCCACCAGUCUGGCAGAGCUUGUUACCAGUGUGGUCUGAAGGGACAUUUUACAAGAAAUUGUCCCCAGAGGAAUGGACCCCCACCUUGUCCAUACCCACUUUGCCAAGGCAAUCACUGGAAAGCACAAUGUCCCUGGGAACAAAGGUCCCCAGGGCCUAAGCUGUCUAACCAGAUGACCCAAUGGCAGGACUGAGGGUGCCUGGAGCAAGUGCCAGCAUGAGCCGUCACCCUUACAGGGCCCCAGGUAAAGCCAACCAUAGAGGUCCAGGAAGUUAAUCUUCUCCUAGACACUGGCAUGUCCUUCUCAUAUUUCUGUUCUGCCAUGGAGAUUCGGUGCUUAUUAAAUCUCCCCCAGACUCUCCCUCUCUAGGCCCAUCUUGGGAAGGAUCAUUUUCAGUCACUCUGUCUACUCCAACGACAGUUACGGUGCUGGGAAUUGACUCAUGGAUUCAUCACACUCGGCUGAAGCCUUGGACGCCUCCUGAAGAAAGUCACAGACCCUCCACUCCACAGCUUGAGGUUCCAGGAGAUGACCCUUCAUACACCUGCGAGGCAUCAGAGGAUCUGCAUCUGCUCUUCCGACAAUAUCCCCAGGAAAGUAACCACACAAGAGCCUGAUUUAGAUCCUGGUGUUAACAGGGCUAUAACGCUAUGUCUCAAACUCCAAUUAUUCCUUUAAUGAAAGGGGGAUGGUUGAAAAUUUGGAAAACUGGGUGCUGAUGUUAGGGAAGUUACUACCUCUAUUCAGUUUCUAUAAGCUACCUCAGGAGUUAUUUAAUAACAUAAAAAUGUUGCUAAUUCUUUCUGCAAAACAGCUUAACUCUUUAGCUGCCAUAGUUCUUCAAAGUAAAAGAGCCCUAAAAUCUGCUAACAACAGAGAGGGAGGGAACAUGUCUCUUUCUAGGAAAAAUGCUGCUAUUUGGUAAACCACGUAAGUGUUGUUUUAAACAUAGUUGAAUAACUCAGGAACCAAACACAGGGCUAAAAACCUUCCAGAAACAGUAUCGUGAAGCUUGUUUAACAACUGGCUGUUCUGACUCUAUUCUCUCCUAGGCUCGUUUAUAACCAUCCUAUAUUUGGUGGCCUCUGGGCCUCUCGUCUUUAACCACCUUAUCACAUUUGUUUCUUCUAGAACCAUAAGGUCACAAAUAAUCCUGUCACUGGAACCCUGAAUGUCCUUGGCUCACGAGCUCUAUCAUGGACCUCAGGAUCAACCUGCGCUCCUAAAAGGCUCCAUCUGCAGGAAGCCUCAUCUGCCACUCUAUGCGCAUUUCAGCAGGAAGUAGCUACAGAACGAUCAAUGCCUGUGUUCCAACAGAAGUCCACAAGGGGGCGUAGUUUCUCAGACAGGAACUUCCCAAGGACAUGCCAUACCUGCCUUCCCCCAAGUGUGUAAUAAAGUUACUGAAAUCUAUCAAGAUAACCUUAACAAAUUAAAUUGUUUUCUACAACAUGGGAAGACAAGGAUAAAAGAAGACAAGAACAAUUUCAGUAUUUAAAAUAAGAAAAAAUUUGGAUCUAAAGUGGCAAAAAGUACAAUAUGUUCCUAAAAUGGUUUGAUAAAAUGAAUGUUUUGUCCAACUUUUGGCUUUUGUGUGGAAAGAGGAAAAAUAUGCAGUGUACACAUUGUAUGUAAUGGUCUGAAUGUUCUUUAGAAAAACUAUGUUAAUGUAAGAAUAUUUUCUGCUGAGUUAAUUAGACACAAGCUUCUUAUUUUCUACCUUGGAUGAGAGGAAUCAGGCCACAAUGAACUCUGACAUUUGUUUCAACUUCAGUUACCUACAGCCAAUGUGCAUUAACCUCAGAACCAUGGUGAGGCAUUUAUAAGGGAUAGCAAAUUUCUCUCAUGAUCUUUUAAGAAAAAUUGCAUUUUCAUAUAUAAUACUUCUACAGAACUAUAUCUGUAAUUUUAAACAAAUUUCUUUUGAUCCUGAAUAAAAGUUCUGUGCCUUCCUCUGGAAUGAUCAUCUGCUUUUCAUACCCAUUGGAUGCAGUUUCAAGUCUCACCAGCUCUUCAGCGUCCAUGUGUAAUAGCAAUGAGAAGCAAGCACUUACCUAGCACUAGCACGCCCCUCAGUACUAUUGAAAGGGCUUUACAUAUGUUAAACAUUGUAAAGUCAUUUAAAAUCAUUUCUUAAUUUUAAAAACACAUUAUUUUUUCAAAAGCCGCACUGGCUUUGUACAUAGUACAAAACAUAAAUAUUUUAAACAGUAAAAAUUAAGAGGACAAUUUUUAAAGUUUAGGCAGAACAUGUAAAAAAAUUCUGAAAGAAUUUUUGUUUUAUCUUCAAUGUAUGUUAUUCCAUAAACCAUAGCUGUAACAAAUGUGUUGGCACAUAGACAGUAAUUAAUAGAAAACAAAUUUUUUUUGUAUU